UCCUAACAUACGUUGGGCCAACAUGGAUAACAAACAGACCCUUAGUUCAAACAGAUCAGUUUAUAUCUCUCCACUAUAACUCACGCUCUCCCUCCCUAUCUAACCUUAAUUAAGAUUCCAAUUAUUUAAUUUCAAUUAUUAAUUGGGCAGAAAGGGAUUCCCAAGAGUUGAGAUUAAGAAGAAGCAAGAGGAUAGCUUCUAAUGGCGUUAAAGAUGGAGACUUUAUCAAGCACAAAUCAUUCAACAGUUUCAAAAAUUUCAAUUCGUUGGGCAACUGUGAAUAUGCAAUUAUGCCACGAAAUUGAGUUCCGUCGACUCUUCGUCUUCUGAAAAUUUGGAGGCGGCAUUCGGUCAUUGAAAUAUAAAAAAAAAAAACUUUCGACGACCGGCAAAGUGCAGCAAUCCUCUAAACAUGGCGGCGGCAAUAUCAAUUGACUUCUGCAAUUGUCGCUGGCCAGAAAUCUACAUUUCGGGCUUUCACUGUACGACGAUUUUAAGGUAAUAUACACACUUGAUUCUAUCAACCAACCCCCGUAUACAUUAUUGAAUAGAUUGCUCGAAUUUAAGGGUUCAAUUUUUUUAUAUUUAAAUUAUUGAUACGAAUUCUAGAAUUUUCGUGAAAAUUAACAAUUUUGUAGUUUUUUUUUAAUCAAAAGCGCCCUUUGUAGGAGGGAGGUUUAGGCAGACCUCCAACCCGCAAAUAAGAUCAAAAUAAAAAGUUCUAACAACAUGUCUUAGCCCAAAAGUGACUAGGAUCUAAGCAAGAACAUGAAGAAGCCAAAUAGAGGUCCCACAAGUCGAGAUCCUCCGUGCUAUCAAGUGGGAAAAAGCUGACUAAAUACAUAUGAGGGAGAAACAAAAAAUUAUCAAAGCCAACCACCAAAGAAGCUGGAUCAAUCCGCAUCUCUACGUCGGAACCGGAAGUUAGGAUAUCCCAGCUGGUUCAUCCUAACCAGUGCCUUAAGAUACCGAGGCGCAGAGAUUGGAUCAUAGUAAGUAAGGGCAGGGGUCUGAAGCUUUGGUUUUUGUCGGGAAUAAGGAUAGGGUCCAAGAGGGCAAGAGUAGUUGAUGGUGAUGCUAAUUCUUGGGAAGAUUUCAUUCCCAUAGUAGCAAUUAGACAAUACCGAAAGGAGAUGAAAGAGGAGGAAAUUGCGGCGGAUAGGGAGGCUGAGCGUGCUGCCACGCCAAGAGUUUACAUUAUUUAUAAUAUUCAUGUUUACAUUGGUUAUAAUAUUUAUGUUUUAAUGUACAAUUUGACUUUUAUACAUUAAUGAUAGCAUUGUGUGCAUUAUUCACUGAA